GUCACUGUUCACCAGAGAGAAGAGAUCACUGCCAGCUCCUCAGGUUCCCCCAUGAGGGAGCUGCAGACACUGUGAGGUCUCCCCUCAGACUCCUCCCGGCUGAAUAGGCAGGUCAAGAUUUUGAAGGAGAGGGCAAGAGUGAGAAACCUACAUGGCUGGACCUGUACUAUGUUCUGGGCAUGACAGUAGGCGUGGGUGUGCUGCUGCUUUGGAUGAUUGUGUGUUGCAUAGGCCUGUCAUGGCUGAGGGAGAAAGACCUAGGACCCUGGAGACAUGGAGAAGCACUGAGACGAACUCUGGCAAAGCAAAGAGCAAAGAGGUGGAGGUGAAGCAGAAUCAGGAGAACGACCAGCAUGCAGAUCUCCCAACUCUGCCCACUGGUUUCAGCUGCUCUCUGAUGGUGCCUCUUCACAGGACAACUGAGUGUCUGUGGACUCACCUCGCCCCACAUCAUCCCAG